rnacentral:rRNA from 1 species
GUGCCAGCAGCCGCGGUAAUACCGGCAGCCCGAGUGAUGGCCGAUCUUAUUGGGCCUAAAGCGUCCGUAGCUGGCCGCACAAGUCCGUCGGGAAAUCCACUCGCCCAACGAGUGGGCGUCCGGCGGAAACUGUGCGGCUUGGGACCGGAAGGCUCGAGGGGUACGUUCGGGGUAGGAGUGAAAUCCCGUAAUCCCGCACGGACCACCGAUGGCGAAAGCACCUCGGGAGAACGGAUCCGACAGUGAGGGACGAAAGCCAGGGUCUCCAACCGGAUUAGAAACCCCAGUAGUCC